UCUGAUCUUUUGUCUGUCGAUUAUUACCCAAGUCUUUCAAGGAUCAGAUCGAAGAUUAGAUUUUUGUUUGGAACCCUAUUCAAGGUGUUUUUCUGUGGAUCAAAGGUGAAAAAGAUGAAUUUACAACCUUCGACAAAACGCAUCCAUGUCUCUCGAGGAGAUGAUGGAAUUUGAUUGCAGCAAGGAUUUUGUUGUUUUUCCUAAUCUCCAACGUGUCAGUUUACUUGCCAACAACAUUGUUCCCCCUCUCAGAUUAUUUAUAAGGAGGAUAAUGGAACAAUAUCUCAUCUGUAUCAUCAACGCAGUUAUCAAUCCUCAUAGCCAGUCAGUCUCUAUCUCAAGAUCCACAGAGAUAUUAGGUUUUACUAAUCAUCUGGGUGAGUAUAUAUAAAAAACAUUUUACUAAUCAUCACUGUCUUACUAAUCAUCCCGGUGAGUAUAUAUAAAAAACAUCAGGAAGCGUUAGACAUUGUAUAUAAACAGCCAUUAGAAAAAGUUGUUUCGAGAUGGUGUUAUAACAUACCUUAAAGAAACAAAGCCGCGUUAGUCAGUGCAUCAGAUUCGCCGUUAUCAAUCCUCAUUGUAGGAUUUGGAGACGCCGACUUUGAAGAGAUGGAUUUAAAGAGAUGGAUGUACAAGUCUAUGUCUUCUAAAAAAGGAAAAAGAUAUUGAUGAUUCGUACAACUGCGAGUAUGAUAUUUUGUGUAAACUAUGUUUUUUUUUGUUU